CAGCCCCUCGAGUGGUGGGGAUGAUUAUUUGGCCUAAAGCGUCCGUAGCCGGCCGUGUAAGUUUCCCGUUAAAUCCAGCGUCUCAAGCGUAGGGCGUGCAGGAGAGACUGCUAAGCUAGGGACCGGGAGGAGUCAGAGGUAUGCCGGGGGGAGCGGUAAAAUGCUAUAAUCCCUAGUGGACCACCUAUGGCGAAGGCAUCUGACUAGAACGGGUCCGACAGUGAGGGACGAAAGCCAGGGGAGCAAACCGGAUUAGAUACCCGAGUAGUCC
rnacentral:rRNA from 1 species